CCUUCCCUAGGCCAAUCAACCCUUAAACAGUCUGAAACCAACCCUUCCCUAGGCCCCAAUCAAACCCUUAAACCAGUCUGAAACCAACCCCUUCCCUAGGCCCCAAUCAACCCUUAAACCAGUCUGAAACCAACCCCUUCCCUAUGCCCCAAUCAACCCUUAAACCAGUCUGAAACCAACCCCUUUCCUAGCCCCCAAUCAACCCACUU
rnacentral:lncRNA from 1 species